rnacentral:rRNA from 1 species
UACAGAGACCUCAAGCGUUAUCCGGAUUCAUUGGGCGUAAAGCGUCUGUAGGGGGUUCGAUUAGUCUCCCGUUAAAUCACGGGGCUUAACUCCGUAACCGCGGGGGAAACGGUCGAACUUGAGUGCGCAAGAGGCAAGCGGAACUCACGGUGUAGCAGUGAAAUGCGUUGAUAUCGUGGGGAACACCAAAGGCGAAGGCAGCUUGCUGGGGCGCCACUGACCCUGAGAGACGAAAGCGUGGGUAG